GGGGUUGUAGCUCAGUUGUACAGUGCUUACCUAGCAUGUGUGAGGCCCUGGGUUCGAUCCCCAGUACCACA
rnacentral:tRNA from 1 species